UAGGGAAUUUUCGUUCAAUGGGCGCAAGCCUGAACGAGCGAUGCCGCGUGAGUGAAGAAGGCCUUCGGUCGUAAAGCUCUGUUGCGGGGGAAAAAAGGCAGCAUCAGGAAAUGGGUGCUGACUGAUGGUGCCCCGCCAGAAAGUCACGGCUAACUACGUGCC
rnacentral:rRNA from 1 species